CAGCACCUCAAGUGGUCAGGAUGAUUAUUGGGCCUAAAGCAUCCGUAGCCGGCGCUGUAAGUUUUCGGUUAAAUCUGUACGCUCAACGUACAGGCUGCCGGGAAUACUGCAGCGCUAGGGAGUGGGAGAAGUAGACGGUACUCGGUAGGAAGGGGUAAAAUCCUUUGAUCUAUUGAUGACCACCUGUGGCGAAGGCGGUCUACCAGAACACGUCCGACGGUGAGGGAUGAAAGCUGGGGGAGCAAACCGGAUUAGAUACCCGAGUAGUCC
rnacentral:rRNA from 1 species